GUGCUUUCUUCAGCUGCACAUAUACUAAAAUUAGAUCGACACAGAGAUUAGUAUGACCCCUGCACAAGGAUAACAUGCAAAUUCAUAAAGUGUUCCAUAUUUAA